UACCGUAUGAUGCAGAGAUGCCAAAGAUUUAUCGCCUUGGGAUAAGCCCGCGUCAGAUUAGGUAGUUGGUGGGGUAAUGGCCUACCAAGCCUGUGAUCUGUAGCUGGUCUGAGAGGACGAUCAGCCACAUUGGGACUGAGACACGGCCCAAACUCCUACGGGAGGCAGCAGUGGGGAAUCUUGCGCAAUGGACGAAAGUCUGACGCAGCCAUGCCGCGUGAAUGAUGAAGGUCUUAGGAUUGUAAAGUUCUUUAGCCUGUGACGAUGAUGACGGUAACAGGAGAAUAAGCCCCGGCUAACUUCGUGCCAGCAGCCGCGGUAAUACGAAGGGGGCUAGCGUUGUUCGGAAUUACUGGGCGUAAAGCGAGCGUAGGCGGUUAUGCAAGCCAGAGGUGAAAUGCCUGAGCUCAACUUAGGAAUUGCCUUUGGAACUGCAUGGCUUUGAGGACGAGAGAGGUGAGUGGAAUUCCCAGUGUAGAGGUGAAAUUCGUAGAUAUUGGGAAGAACACCGGUGGCGAAGGCGGCUCACUGGCUCGUUUCUGACGCUGUAGCGCGAAAGCGUGGGGAUCAAACAGGAUUAGAUACCCUGGUAGUCCACGCUGUAAACGAU
rnacentral:rRNA from 1 species